AACGAACGCUGGCGGCGUGGAUUAGGCAUGCAAGUCGAACGGAAUUUCUAGCUUUUUCGGAAAUUUAGUGGCGAAAGGGUGAGUAACAUGUGGGUAAUCUACCCAGAGGAUUGGGAUAACCUGUCGAAAGACGGGCUAAUACCGAAUGAGACCACGACUUCUUCGGAAGUUGAGGUCAAAGAUAGGGACCGCAAGGCCUGUCACCUUUGGAGGAGCCCGCAUCCUAUCAGCUUGUUGGUGAGGAAUGGCUCACCAAGGCUAUGACGGGUAGCUGGCCUGAGAGGGUGGUCAGCCACAUCGGGACUGAGACACUGCCCGGACUUCUACGGGAGGCAGCAGUGGGGAAUCUUGCGCAAUGGGCGAAAGCCUGACGCAGCGACGCCGCGUGAAGGAUGACGGCCUCGGUUGUAA
rnacentral:rRNA from 1 species